CUUCAGAGAGUGACUUCUCGGCGUGCGGCGCCUCUGUUGACGGCGCCUGUCUCAGCUCAGUGUUUCAGAGUGUUAAUUGAUUAGCUUCUAUCAUUGAUUUAUUGCAUGAUUAAUCAAACUUUGGUGGCUUACUUCAUCCGCUCGAAAACACGUCCUAUGAUAAAAGAACAUCCAAUACAGCUAUAAAAAUAGCUGAGCUUAUACAGCCCCCUUAAACUCCUCCCUCGCCGGAAGCGCCAACAAAUUAAUUCGUACAGUUAUCAGUACCUGGCCGUCUUAGCAGCUCGUCGUAUUUGUAUAUAGAGAUCCUUGUCUGCAUAGAAAAAGAGGAAGAGAAAGAGAGUAGAGUUGCAGGAACGAGAUGUAUCUCACGCUGAUUACUGAGAUCAUCCAAUACGCGUCAUGCAUACAGGGUGUCCAAAUUCAUACUCAGAACAAAGUAUAUGGAAUUCUUGUCGGAAUGUGGAGACGAAAAUGAAAAUUAAGGGAGGCGAGUGGUUUGGAACGUCGAGUAGCUUCAAGAGUGCUCAGUAAUUGAACUUCUGCACGUGGUUUUUUGGAGCACAAAUAAUAAGUUGCUCGGAAGGCUUGACCCCCCUGGCCCUUACGAUUUUUCGAUCAGAAAGAGCAAACGAAAAUUUCGGAUGAAACAUUCUGAAAUUAAUUGAAGUGUAAGAUAAUUUCCCAAUUUCGAAUAGUAUCGCGAUUGUGUGAUCGCGAUGCUAUACUCUCCACCCUCUUGACGAUUCCACAAUGUACCACAUUGUAACUUUCCACUUACGUUGCUGUUUGUAAAAAUAUACUUUUUUAGAAUAAGGUACAAUGUUUUUGUGAAAACUAAUGGCACGAAACUGCUGAAAAAAAAAACGGUAUGGAAGCUUGUGCUUCCAGUUCCGAGUUUUUCGACUUUUGAUAAUAUGCACAAAUUUUGUGUAAAAUACAAGGUCGAUUUCACCAUGAAAAAAUUUCGUUCUGAAAAGUUUAAUGGAAAAAUAAUAAAAAAAAUUUUUAACAAGUGAGACAUCCCCGAUUUUCGAGGGUCAAAAGAAUUUAUAAAGGCAACUGAUCGUUUUUUCAUGAGAAAAAUAAUCACACCGCGAGCUCCGAUCGUAAAAAGACCAUUAAAAUCUUUAUCAGCGGCUUUUGCUUUAGUUUUGUAGAUUUUUUGAAGCACAACUUCAGAUUCAGCACGUUUCUUGGCAUACUUCAUCCGGUCGGCUUCGUUGUCGUUGACUAGAAAAAAAUUAAAUGGACUUGAUUCAAUAGGGUAUUUUACACCACGUAAAAAAAUAUAUAAAA